GGGGAGAAAUCGGCGGGCUCUGAGAUCCGCUCGGUCGAUCUUCUCCAUGCAUGCGUUGGGGUGAAGCUAAUCCCCGCAUCUAUCGCGAGCUCAUCUGGCCUGCGCAACUACCGUCACCGGGAUCUGCGCCUCGCCUCCGGAGGAUAAAACCGAAGGUCGCCCCCUCCCCAGCAAUAUCUCCCACAUCUGCGCGGGCGCCGUUCAUCCCACGGCGGAGGGCCCCUGCCAGGACUGCUCUGCCAGACCUCCCUAUUCCCCAUGGCGAGCCUCCUGUGCACCCCCUCCCUUUCCGACGAGUGCAUACGCAUAGCCGCAUACAGGUGAAUCAAUGCCGAGCGCAAACGAGAGUUAGAUAGGAGAGACAGUGUGGGUCGCUGCUGUUGCUCCCCGCUGCCUCCGUUGAACUCGUGACGCCUUCGCUGACGGGUCUUGGAGAUCCGCCCUUGUGCGGAGCUCGUGUUGGCAGGCUUCCUAGUUCGCGUGUGGCCUUGAUGGAUCGACGAUUUCUCGCCGGAUUUGGAAACCAGCCAUCCUGUCGCUCCCCCUCCGUCGACUUCAUAUCCCGGCAUGCCAAAUCCAGUGAGAUCGCGAGGAUCUGAAGAAUCAUCCUAGUACCUGGGAUCUCAAGUGUCAAGCAAGUUGUGUCUUUGAUCACAUUUAUUACCCAAUAAUGUUCUUUAUUAUCACUUAUUCAUGCAUAGGUUUAAUUUUGAUGGGACCCAAUAGGUCACCCUAGUCUGUUUAUCUUGUUAUCUUGUUUACCCCUGAAUCAUUUGGGUAGUUUUUGCUAUUGCCCUAUAUGUUUUUGGGAUUAAUACUACAUUAUGUCCAUGUUUCAAUUAUUCUGUUAUUUUAUUUAUGUUCAUGUCAAGAUCA